UGUAAGCCUUUUACUUUCGGGUUCAAGCAGUGCGGUCGAAGAGCGAAGAAGAUGCCGGAGGCGACACGGGAAGCUCCGGUUACUUGGAAUGGAAACUAUCGUAUUUCAAGAAUCCCUACAUUCUGGGAGUAUUGCUGCUGGCAUUGGUGGACUCCUCUUCCCCUACGAUAUUGCUGCUGGCAUUGGUGGACUCCUCUUCCCCUACGAUAUUGCUGCUGGCAUUGGUGGACUCCUCUUCCCCUACGACACUCUGGUGCAAUGACGGAAAACAAUCAUGGCAGAAUUAAGCUCGUUUGCGUGUCCUAAACCGCAUUUGUACGACGUGAGAGGGUCGCUGCAAGGACCACUAUUCCAUGAUAAGUCAUUUGAUGGAUCAUCUCCUAUUUUCCUCGCAUAAAUUGGUGGAAACCUAUGCCUACCUACACCAAGGAUUGGCCACGUGCUGUCGCAUUUACCUCCUACAGAAGAAAUCAUGCGAUCAAGUCAUUCUGGGUGUAUAUUGACCGUCAUGUAGCAAAUGACAUUGCUUUUCGCCCAUACGCCGAUCACCACCAGACGCGUCAGUUGGACCUCAUUUUGUUAUACUCUGGAUGAUUGACAUGUGAGUAAAGUCUGAUGUAUCCUUAUCUUCUCGAACGAGUGAUGCGCCCAUUUGGAUAUUUGUAGAUUAUUCUGAAACACCCCUCAGAGUCCGCUCCUCCCACCGUCCACCACAAAGAUCUUAAUGCGAUACUUGAGGAUUUUGAGCUAUGCGAUACCAGAGGAGUAUCGCAGGGUGUCAACUCCUGGACAAUGAACUUAUUUUCACGACACAUGACAUGGUUCUAUAUGGUGACACACCCUAUCAUGACACCAAACGCUCCUGGAUGACCACCUAGACCAUAUAAUUAGGAGGUACUUAAGGUCAGGGACCACACUCAGGACAUAAGCAACGUCUGUCAACAUAUUGUUGAUAUGGUGAGAAUGGGCAUAAAGACAAGACUUUUUGAGGAGGAAGUCUCUAGUUGGAUCUCGUAGAAGGUAUUAUUGUUGAGGCACAGAAUGCCUUGUAGUACAAGUUGAGAAGUUAGGGAGUUAGACAUACUUAGUAGUUUUUGUUUGGUUGCAUUGUUUUUUUUUUUGUAUUUUUGAAAGAAGUUAUGUAUGAUCGGUACAAUUUGAUUUUACUUAAUUAAUUUGUGUCUUUUUAA